UACGGAGGGGGCUAGCGUUGUUCGGAAUUACUGGGCGUAAAGCGCGCGUAGGCGGACCUGCAAGUCGGGGGUGAAAGCCCGGGGCUCAACCUCGGAGGUGCAUUCGAUACUGCGGGUCUCGAGUCCGGGAGAGGUGAGUGGAAUUCCUAGUGUAGAGGUGAAAUUCGUAGAUAUUAGGAAGAACACCGGUGGCGAAGGCGGCCAUCUGGACCGGGAUUGACGCUGAGGCGCGAAAGCGUGGGGAGCAAACAGG
rnacentral:rRNA from 1 species